rnacentral:rRNA from 1 species
AACAGACGAGGAGCUUGCUCCUCUGACGUUAGCGGCGGACGGGUGAGUAACACGUGGAUAACCUACCUAUAAGACUGGGAUAACUUCGGGAAACCGGAGCUAAUACCGGAUAAUAUAUUGAACCGCAUGGUUCAAUAGUGAAAGACGGUUUUGCUGUCACUUAUAGAUGGAUCCGCGCCGCAUUAGCUAGUUGGUAAGGUAACGGCUUACCAAGGCAACGAUGCGUAGCCGACCUGAGAGGGUGAUCGGCCACACUGGAACUGAGACACGGUCCAGACUCCUACGGGAGGCAGCAGUAGGGAAUCUUCCGCAAUGGGCGAAAGCCUGACGGAGCAACGCCGCGUGAGCGAUGAAGGUCUUCGGAUCGUAAAACUCUGUUAUUAGGGAAGAACAAAUGUGUAAGUAACUAUGCACGUCUUGACGGUACCUAAUCAGAAAGCCACGGCUAACUACGUGCCAGCAGCCGCGGUAAUACGUAGGUGGCAAGCGUUAUCCGGAAUUAUUGGGCGUAAAGCGCGCGUAGGCGGUUUUUUAAGUCUGAUGUGAAAGCCCACGGCUCAACCGUGGAGGGUCAUUGGAAACUGGAAAACUUGAGUGCAGAAGAGGAAAGUGGAAUUCCAUGUGUAGCGGUGAAAUGCGCAGAGAUAUGGAGGAACACCAGUGGCGAAGGCGACUUUCUGGUCUGUAACUGACGCUGAUGUGCGAAAGCGUGGGGAU